GAGGACUCAUGAGCUUCUCCCUGACAGCUCCUGCUCCAGCUGUGCUGAAGAUGUGCACACACCAAAAUGCACGUGUGCUUAUAGCUGAGGAGGGAGGACUAACUACACCACCAAAUACUCUUUUAGAGGGAAAGAAAGCUGCAAGCCUGGGGAUUGCAAGACAUUACCAGCAUCAAAUCAUCCACAGAGCACUCUAACUAAAAGGAGAACAUUAUGGCGUGUGCCAGUAAUGCCCAUCUGGAACUGGAAGUGGCUCAGACAGCCUGCAAGACGUUGUCCUUCCUGCAGGAUCGGAAAGGGGGCCAGAAAUACCAACACUUCUGUAUCUUUGCUAAAUUUCCAGUCCAUUUGAGCAGACAGACAGAGUUGUGAUGGGGUUUGGCUCAUUGUUUUUGGGGCACUCAAAGUCAGUGAUUACCCCCUCCUCCCCAGCUGCCCUAUUGCAGAGCUCCUCCAGAAACACGUGGAGGAAGCACUACGUGUUACUAAUGUCUGCUAAACAGAUGCUGCCUUUUACUUGGCUUGUGUGAGGAAGGUGGCUUGUCCACACCUGGUUUUGGUAUAGGAGACCCCACUUGGCUGGGGAUAGAUCGCCUUUUUAUGAGCACAUCCUGCAAAAGGACACUGCGGCUCUCAUGUAAUGUUGGCAGCAAAUGUUGUUGCUUGCUGUGCUUGGAAGUUCCCUCCGUCAUUUUGUUCCUAGUGUCUGUUUUCAUUGCAAGAUUUUCAGGAUACGGAGUCAACCCCAGCCAGCUUAUUCCCAACACCAAAGCUUCUCAUUUUGGUGGUGCUCAGGCAUUGCUGUACUUUAUAUGAUUAGUAAUAGUUUAAUAAGCCUGAGAAACUUGAACCUCCCCUUGACCACUGCCGUGUUUGGUGUCAUUUCAGGAACGGCAAGUUCUAGAUUUGAAAGAGGUGCUUCAGCAUCCACCACAGAUAACACAACAUCUCUUAGGACUCCUGCCCUGUGUAAACUUCCCCUCAUACAAACUGCACAAAAUCAACGGCAGGGCAGGUGCAGGAAUAAAGGGGAGAGGACCAUGGGCUAAGGGGGAGCUGCUGAAAAGCUGCAGCAGAUUAUGUGGAGCUGAAAGCUGGGUAGGAGGUUUGGGUAAAAUAAUAGCACCCACUGUGUUUAUAUCAAAUGCCACGGGGAUUUUCUUUAAUGAAAGGCCACAUAGGUCCCCAUUUAUUUGUUUGAGGAGAUUUUAAAGAGUGCGCAGUAACUGAAGCACUGGAAUCAAAGGCAGGGGAGCAAGAAAAACAUCUGUAUGUGCCUUGCUGCUUUUUGGUCCAGUGUAUUAUACUGAAAGCAACUGUGCAUUACCUUCCCUUUAAUGAUACGUCUUGUGGUCAGAUUUUUGGGGAGUGUGAUGGAAAUUGGUGUGAUCCCCUUCCUAGGCAUGGACAAGGGCAUAGCCACGUCUGCCUGUUGUUAGUCAUCGGCCCUGCAUCUGACCUCUGUGCAUGUGUGCAUCUAAUAACAAAAAUGUGUGUUGAUAAGCAGCAUUUUAUGGAAGAGUUAUUUGCUUAAUAUAUUAUUCUGGCUUAACAUCUGCAUGUGGAUUGGAAACUGUCAGAGCGAAAUGGAGUAAUUUUAAAAGGUAUAUGACAAUAUAAAGAUGGUGUGAGGUAACCUGCUGGGACAGUCGUGAUGAAAUCAGAUUGGCAAAAAUAAGGGUUGACCUGUUACUUGGAAGAAAGAGGCCAAUUUAUAACUGUGGUAUGUUACUGUGUUAAAUAACUCAAUUUGCUUUUAUUUUAAUCUGAACACUUCAAGGUCUUAGAAAAUUAGUUAGAAAUCAUUUGGUCUCUCUGGUUUGCGUUAGUUUAGGAUUUUUUUGUUUCUUUUCUCUUAUUUUCUUUUUUUCUUUCUUUUCUUUUUUGUAAGGCAAUGUUGGUUGAGUAUCUCCAAGAAAAUUAAGUACUGGCAAGGGGGCAGAAAAUUGUGCCUGUUAUUUCAUGUAGCCAGAGAAAGAAGCAACACCUUGGAGGUGAAUGAUAGAUAUUAUUAUAAAAGAGUUGUAGCUCAGGGCAGGUGAGCGGUCUGUUAAUGAGGAGCCACCUCCUGCUUUCUGACAGAUGACUGUCAUUGUUCAAAUGCUGCCAUCAGAUUGAUUAAUAACUGGGUCAUCUUGCCCUGCAGUUGGAGUAGACUGUCUUCAUUCUUUUGCUGAUUUCUCUAAUAUGCUGACCUGGAGGUGACCCAAUAGAGGUGGAGCUGAGAUUAGCAUUUCAUUUCUUGUAGAACAACAAGAAAAAAUUCACAAGGAAGUGGAUUAACUAAACUAAAACUCAAAGAAUGCUCUUAUCCCCAGAGCAACACCCAAACUUAUUCAUCAUUUAUGAACAGGCAGUUUUAGUAUUUGAUACAUUUAUAUUUUUAAUAAAUAUUUAAAUUAGGUUCAUUUCUGCAGCAUCAGCUAAAUCUAAGUGAAAAGACGUAUAAGGUCUCUUCAGAGCAUGCAAAGAAAUGCAAAGACCUGUGUACUGAGGGGCAGGGGAGUGAGCUGAUAUAACAUCAAAAUUCCUGCUUUGCCUUAAUGUCUCUUAAUGUUCACUAAAUUCACUAUUAAAAGACCAAAUAGUAAACAGCAUGCUUUGACAAGUGAAAUGCAGGCAUAUUAUCCCAGAUGACUGUUAUUAUGUGGAAAGAAUGGCAAUUCUCCUUCAAGAUUUGUGUAAUUUUCUCUCUUUUCUUGAUUUAAACUCUUCUGAAAGCAAUGGCAUGGUGAGUUUACCUUUCUCCUUGUCAUAUGUUGGCAAGGUGUGAUGGCUCUCAUCUGCUUUGGGAGCAUGGAGCACAAUAUAAUAGUCAACUAGAGCCAGAGGGAUACUUGCAACUAAUUAGGAUUCAAUUUUCAGACUUUUUGGAACAUUGCUUUGGCUAAAAGUUACAUGAAAAUAUCCUUCAAAUAGCUUGUGAAAUUGGCUCAUUUCUGGCACUCUUUUAAAAUUACUGAUCCUUCUAUUACAUGGACCAGCUCUGCAAUUUGAGACUUUUCUAUUUAAAUGAAACAUUUGUAACAUUUUGCAAGAAUACCUGCUAUUCCUUCCAUCUUCCUGGA